GUGCAGCAGUCGAGAAUAGUCUACAAUGGACGAAAGUCUGAUAGUGCGACGCCGUGUGUGCGAUUAAUUCCUUCGGGAUGUAAAGCACUUUUCUAUGAGAUAAAAGCUCUUUAGGUUAAUAGCUUAUUGAGACGGAUAUUAUUAUAGGAAUAAGCUCCGGCUAACUCCGUGCCAGCAGCCGCGGUAAUACGGAAGGAGCGAGCGUUGUCCGGAUAUACUAGGCGUAAAGGGCUAGUAGGCGACUAAUUAAGUUAUAUGUUAAAUCCCACGGCUCAACUGUGGUCCUGCAUGUAAUACUGGUUAGAUAGAGUACUGUAGAGGAAGGCAGAAUUCCUGGAGUAGCGGUGGAAUGCGCAGAUAUCAGGAAGAAUACCAAAAGCGAAGGCAGCCUUCUGGGCAGUUACUGACGCUGAAUAGCGAAGGUGUGGGUAGCGAACAGGAUUAGAUACCCGGGUAGU
rnacentral:rRNA from 1 species